GACGAACGCUGGCGGCGUGCUUAACACAUGCAAGUCGAACGCUGAAGCCUAGCUUGCUGGGUGGAUGAGUGGCGAACGGGUGAGUAACACGUGAGUAACCUGCCCCCUUCUUUGGGAUAACGCCCGGAAACGGGUGCUAAUACUGGAUAUUCACUGAUCUUCGCAUGGGGGUUGGUGGAAAGGUUUUUUCUGGUGGGGGAUGGGCUCGCGGCCUAUCAGCUUGUUGGUGGGGUGAUGGCCUACCAAGGCUUUGACGGGUAGCCGGCCUGAGAGGGUGACCGGUCACAUUGGGACUGAGAUACGGCCCAGACUCCUACGGGAGGCAGCAGUGGGGAAUAUUGCACAAUGGGCGAAAGCCUGAUGCAGCGACGCCGCGUGAGGGAUGGAGGCCUUCGGGUUGUAAACCUCUUUCGCUCAUGGUCAAGCCGCAACAUUGGUUGUGGUGAGGGUAGUGGGUAAAGAAGCGCCGGCUAACUACGUGCCAGCAGCCGCGGUAAUACGUAGGGCGCGAGCGUUGUCCGGAAUUAUUGGGCGUAAAGGGCUUGUAGGCGGUUGGUCGCGUCUGCCGUGAAAUCCUCUGGCUUAACUGGGGGCGUGCGGUGGGUACGGGCUGACUUGAGUGCGGUAGGGGAGACUGGAACUCCUGGUGUAGCGGUGGAAUGCGCAGAUAUCAGGAAGAACACCGGUGGCGAAGGCGGGUCUCUGGGCCGUUACUGACGCUGAGGAGCGAAAGCGUGGGGAGCGAACAGG
rnacentral:rRNA from 1 species